AAGGAUUUAAGUUAAAAAAACUCGUAGCCUUCAAAGCUUCAAUUAAAGAAGGUGUCUUUAAGCCUUA
rnacentral:tRNA from 1 species